ACCGUGGUAAUUCUAGAGCUAAUACAUGCUAAAAACCCCGACUUCGGAAGGGGUGUAUUUAUUAGAUAAAAAACCAAUGCCCUCUGGGCUCUUUGGUGAUUCAUAAUAACUUAACGAAUCGCAUGGCCUUGCGCCGGCGAUGGUUCAUUCAAAUUUCUGCCCUAUCAACUUUCGAUUGUAAGAUAGAGGCUUACAAUGGUAUUAACGGGUAACGGGGAAUUAGGGUUCUAUUCCGGAGAGGGAGCCUGAGAAACGGCUACCACAUCCAAGGAAGGCAGCAGGCGCGCAAAUUACCCAAUGCUAAUUCAGCGAGGUAGUGACAAUAAAUACUGAUACGGGGCUCUUUCGGGUCUCGUAAUUGGAAUGAGUACAAUCUAAAUCCCUUAACGAGGAACAAUUGGAGGGCAAGUCUGGUGCCAGCAGCCGCGGUAAUUCCAGCUCCAAUAGCGUAUAUUAAAGUUGUUGCCGUUAAAAAGCUCGUAGUUGAACCUUGGACCUGGCUGAUCUGUCCUCCUAAUCGAGCGCACGGAUUCGGUCGGGUCUUUCCUUCUGGGGAGCCCUAUGCCCUUCACUGGGUGUAGUGGGGAACCAGGACUUUUACCUUGAAAAAAUUAGAGUGUUCAAAGCAGGCCUUUGCUCGAAUACAUUAGCAUGGAAUAAUAGAAUAGGACAUCGGUUCUAUUUUGUUGGUUUCUAGGACCGCUGUAAUGAUUAAUAGGGAUAGUCGGGGGCGUCAGUAUUCAAUUGUCAGAGGUGAAAUUCUUGGAUUUAUUGAAGACUAACUACUGCGAAAGCAUUCGCCAAGGAUGUUUUCAUUAAUCAGUGAACGAAAGUUAGGGGAUCGAAGACGAUCAGAUACCGUCGUAGUCUUAACCAUAAACUAUGCCGACUAGGGAUCGGACGGUGGUUUUUUUAUGCCCCGUUCGGCACCUUACGAGAAAUCAAAGUUUUUGGGCUCGGGGGGGAGUAUGGUCGCAAGGCUGAAACUUAAAGAAAUUGACGGAAGGGCACCACCAGGCGUGGAGCCUGCGGCUUAAUUUGACCCAACACGGGGAAACUCACCAGGUCCAGACAUGCUUAGGAUUGACAGAUUGAUAGCUCUUUCUUGAUUGUAUGGGUGGUGGUGCAUGGCCGUUCUUAGUUGGUGGAGUGAUUUGUCUGCUUAAUUGCGAUAACGAACGAGACCUUGACCUGCUAAAUAGCCAGGUUGAC
rnacentral:rRNA from 1 species